AGCAGCCGCGGUAAUUCCAGCUCCAAUAGCGUAUAUUAAAGUUGUUGCAGUUAAAAAGCUCGUAGUUGAAUUUCGGGGUUCUACCGUUGGUCGGGCUUUGUCUGUACUGGCGUGUAGAAUUUCUACCUUCUGGGGAACCAUCAUGUUAUUAAUUUAACGUGGUGGGAAACCAGGACCUUUACCUUGAAAAAAUUAGAGUGUUCAAAGCAGGCUUAUGUCUGAAUACAUUAGCAUGGAAUAAUAAAAUAGGACGGUGGUCCUGUUUUGUUGGUUUCUGAAUCACCGUAAUGAUUAAUAGGGAUAGUUGGGGGCAUUAGUAUUCAAUUGUCAGAGGUGAAAUUCUUGGAUCUAU
rnacentral:rRNA from 1 species